UUGGCGGACGGGUGAGUAACGCGUGGGUAACCUGCCUCACACUGGGGGAUAACAGUUAGAAAUAGCUGCUAAUACCGCAUAAGCGCACGGUUCCGCAUGGAACAGUGUGAAAAACUCCGGUGGUGUGAGAUGGACCCGCGCCUGAUUAGCCAGUUGGCGGGGUAACGGCCCACCAAAGCGACGAUCAGUAGCCGGCCUGAGAGGGUGAACGGCCACAUUGGGACUGAGACACGGCCCAA
rnacentral:rRNA from 1 species